UACGUAGGGGGCAAGCGUUGUCCGGAAUCAUUGGGCGUAAAGAGCGUGUAGGCGGCCUGAUAAGUCGGCUGUGAAAGUCAAGGGCUCAACCCUUGAAUGCCGGCCGAUACUGUCAGGCUAGAGUCCGGAAGAGGCGAGUGGAAUUCCUGGUGUAGCGGUGAAAUGCGCAGAUAUCAGGAGGAACACCUAUGGCGAAGGCAGCUCGCUGGGACGGUACUGACGCUGAGACGCGAAAGCGUGGGGAGCGAACGGG
rnacentral:rRNA from 1 species